CCAAAAUAAGUAAAAUUUAAUUUAAUAAAAUUAAAUCUAUAUGAGGUAAUGACUAUACAAGUACAGAAUGGAGAGGUUCCUCUUUACAUGUGAAAGACCUUUGAGUUUACACUUUCAAACUCCUUGAGUCAAGAAUAUUCGCUGACAUAGAAACAAAUUUUAUUGUACAUUUCUUAAUACUGUAAACUUACACGUACUUCCCACAUAACCUCAAUUCCUCAUCUAUUCUCUUGUAGAGAUAUGGUAGUCAGUGGGACAGACGCUUAAAAAGCUGACAAGACCUAUAUUUUUAACUUUUAUACAUUGGCCUUUGACUACCUGGAAUAGUAUUAAAUAGCUGUUUACGGUUAUGUCCUCAAAAUCAUACCAAAUGUUUAAAAUGCAGUCUAAUGCUACUUUUUACAACCCAAGAAGAUAGCUGUUAUUAUCCUUAUCUUGAAUAAGAUCCUGUGUUUGAAAUCAAUUCUGUGGGGUUAGAGACUCAUCCCAGCAGGUAAGUGCUAGGUCUUUUAAUAAUUCCACCACUUUCCUUCGCUGUUUAGUGACUAUUCCUUUUUGCUCCAUUACACAGCUGCUGAACCACAACGAGUAGGGCCCAAGAAAAUUUUUAAAGCACCUUAGGUAAUUGUAAUGAAAACGGCCCACAAUGCAGGUUUGGGAACUGCGUUAGAUCAUCUGAAUAUUUCUCAUCAGGCUUCUGAUAGAUGCUUGAUAGCAGAUUUUAAGACUAUACUUUCUGAUAACAGGCAGUAUUGUAUAAAAAGCUGAAAGACCUAGUUGAAUUUGAGCACUGUUACUUACUAGUGCUACCUCUUACAAGUCACUUGACCCUGCUGAGCCUCAAUUUUCCCAUAUAUAAAAUGAUCAUUGUAAGCACUCAGCACCAGGCCUGGCACAUGAUAUGCACUCAAUAAAUACUACCUACUAAUUUUGAAGAUGAAGGCCCAGAAUAUACUAACUAUAUUGUCAGUUAAGAGUUGCCUUACAACCCUGGCUACUAAAUUGUCUGGUUCACAUGCCAUUACAAAGGGCCUUUACUUUCUCAUUCCCAUGAUGAAUCUCAGGUUACACGGCUGAGGAAAAUGUUGACAUCGUUAUUCUGUAUUUGCAUUAAAUACCAUUUAAAAGUUGUUUUUAUCAUACUUAUAUCUCACAUUAUUACCUUAAAAAUUCCGAAGGAUGUUAUAAAGUUGUUAAACAGGAUGUUUAAGCAAAUAUUAGUAAAACUUUCUCUCUUGCUCUUCUGGGAUCAAGAUUUGUAAUAUUUAGCCAAAACUGUCAGCAUGUGAGGCCAAGUUACCAAAGUGCUUUGACAUAAAAGCAAUGUUAUUUUAAACUAUUAGUUUAGAUAGUAUCUUGUCAGUUAAAAAAAAAAAAGUCCCUUUUGCAGUUAAUUGCCCUUUCCAAAUAACUUUAAUGAAAAUAUCUUGCCAAGAAACAUCUCUUUGAUUCAUUAAGCUGGGUUUAGAUUGUGCCUGAGUCACAAAGCACAGAGGUAAUUACAGGUUGAAAUUGAUUUGCGCCUCUUUAUAAAUAAGAACUGAUUAUAGAAUAAAUGUCUCAUUAAAUAUAAAAUAUUGACACUGUAUAUUAAUUAUGUUACUACUCAUGGUUGUGGCUCCCUUACAAUUCUCAUGCAAAAAUAAAUUUAUAAACUAACUUUAACAUUAGAAAUUCUCCAAUUCUUAAA
rnacentral:lncRNA from 1 species